GAUGAACGCUGGCGGCGUGCCUAAUACAUGCAAGUCGAGCGAACAGACGAGGAGCUUGCUCCUCUGACGUUAGCGGCGGACGGGUGAGUAACACGUGGAUAACCUACCUAUAAGACUGGGAUAACUUCGGGAAACCGGAGCUAAUACCGGAUAAUAUAUUGAACCGCAUGGUUCAAUAGUGAAAGACGGUUUUGCUGUCACUUAUAGAUGGAUCCGCGCCGCAUUAGCUAGUUGGUAAGGUAACGGCUUACCAAGGCAACGAUGCGUAGCCGACCUGAGAGGGUGAUCGGCCACACUGGAACUGAGACACGGUCCAGACUCCUACGGGAGGACGCAGUAGGGAAUCUUCCGCAAUGGGCGAAAGCCUAACGGAGCAACGCCGCGUGAGUGAUGAAGGUCUUCGGAUCGGAAAACUCUGUUAUUAGGGAAGAACAAAUGUGUAAGUAACUAUGCACGUCUUGACGGUACCUAAUCAGAAAGCCACGGCUAACUACGUG
rnacentral:rRNA from 1 species